rnacentral:misc_RNA from 1 species
GGUUGUGGAAGAUGAUGCCUCUGGGGUCUUUAGCCAACUUAGCCUCUCAUGGCUAACCCUCAAGGCCACGAUGCCGUUUAAUUAACUCUACUAUCUUUACCCUUCGUGCAGCGUGUAUAUCAGUUUGUCAUAUCUCUAAUUUCAUGCCUUGGCCUUAAAUUAGCUCUACUCUUGCUCUUUUGUGUCUGCUUAUCAAGUGGUGAACUAAAGUUUAUUGCUUAAAUCCCGCCGGAGAAGUAAUUAUGUUUUUGACGGAGUCUCUCCCUAUCCUUAAUAGAGGUUGCUUGGCAUCCUUCAAUGGAGGUUCUCCUGAAGUUGUGCUUUCAAGUUCGUUCAUUGUCUUCCUCAGGCAAUCCAUGACUCGAUAGUUUUUGGCUCGUGUGCAUGAACAAUGCACCUUUCUAUGGUUGGAUCCUUCUUUACGGGUCAAAUACCCAUUAGAUCCUAGGG